ensembl:snRNA U6 U6 spliceosomal RNA
GCUCUCACUUCAGCAGCACAUACACUAAAACUGGAACAAUACAGAGAAGAUUAGCAUGGCCCCUAUACAAGGAUAAAAAACAUCAACUAUUU